rnacentral:rRNA from 1 species
AUGAAUAUCUUAAGUUUGAACUGUCGGGGGUGCGGGCGACCUGAGACAGUUCAAGAAAUUAGCAGUUUGAUUCGGCUGCAUCACCCGUCACUGGUUUUUCUCUCAGAGACCAGGCUGUCUGAUAAGAGAGCUCAGGAUCUGAAGUUUCGCUUGGGGUUCAGUAAUGCGGUUGGCGUAAAGAGCGAGGGGCUAAGUGGAGGCCUUGUCCUCUUUUGGAACAAUGAUUCGGUGGUAUCCCUGAAAUCUUUCAGUCGGACGCACAUUGAUGUGUUUGUGCAAAAUGAAAGCUUGGGGGGUAGAGAAUGGCGCUUUACGGGAUUUUAUGGUGAGCCGGUAAGAACACGAAGAAAAUUAAGCUGGGACCUUAUGAAGUUUCUGCGAAGGGAGUUUAAUAAUCCAUGUUUGAUAGCCGGAGACUUUAAUGAGGUACUUGAUGCUUCCGAACAAUUUGGAGGUAAUGUAAGAGAGGAAUGGAAAAUGGAGGGUUUUCGGGAUGCGGUGGAGUAUUGCCACUUGGAUGAUCUAGGCUAUUCCGGUCUCCCAUUUACUUGGGAUAACAGGCAGCAAGGGUCGAAUAACAUCAAAGUCAGACUUGAUCGUGCUCUAGCUGAUGAGAAAUUUAUGGAAAGAUAUGAUAAUACUAGUGUUAGGGGCUAG